rnacentral:rRNA from 1 species
GUGAACGCUGGCGGUAGGCCUAACACAUGCAAGUCGAACGGCAGCACAGAGGAGCUUGCUCCUUGGGUGGCGAGUGGCGGACGGGUGAGGAAUACAUCGGAAUCUACCCUGUCGUGGGGGAUAACGUAGGGAAACUUACGCUAAUACCGCAUACGACCUUCGGGUGAAAGAGGGGGCUCGCAAGACCUCUCGCGAUUGGAUGAGCCGAUGUCGGAUUAGCUAGUUGGCGGGGUAAAAGCCCACCAAGGCGACGAUCCGUAGCUGGUCUGAGAGGAUGAUCAGCCACACUGGAACUGAGACACGGUCCAGACUCCUACGGGAGGCAGCAGUGGGGAAUAUUGGACAAUGGGCGCAAGCCUGAUCCAGCCAUACCGCGUGGAGGAUGAAGGUCCUCUGGAUUGUAAACUUCUUUUAUCAGGGAAGAAAUGCCGACUUUCUAGUUGGUUUGACGGUACCUGAUGAAUAAGCACCGGCUAACUCCGUGCCAGCCGCCGCAGUAACAC